UAUCCACCUGCACCAAUUCAUAAUAUAUGGACAUACAUAAUCAUUAGCUCCUUUCAUUUUUAUCAAGAAAUAGAGUGAGUCCAGCUUUUCACCUCAGGCUUUGCGUUUAAGGCAGCUUCGAAUUGCUUGUGGAGAUACACGAUCAAUCUCAGCUCCUAGUAUCGAUAAUGGGACCUUCACUCCUGAGAUCGAUAAUGUAGAAUUAUUGACGGUCACAAGGAUUGCUCGUCUACUAAUUAAAACUUAGAUUUACUUCAUAAAAAAUGCGCAGAGGGUAAAUAUGUCAUUUCGCUCAUUUAAUUCGUGAAUUUCGCUCCAUUCUUUCCCUCAUCGUCUGGAGUGGCGGCGGCGACUUUCUGCAUCAUCGUCUUCAGCAACAAACAUCCACACCGCAAUCACAAGCUCCGUUUCCGGAUUUACACAGACGACAAGAGAAGAAUGAAGGUGAAAGGGGCGAUUGCGGCGGUGAGUGGAGUUCCGAUAAGCAGAGCACGGGUCACUGUGGGUCGCUACUAUGAUGCAGCUCUCUGAUCAGGAAAGGGAAGGAAUCAAUCGAUGUUUGAUAAAUAAACGGUGCCCUGUUUGUUCAUCAUUGUCAAUCAAACUUUCUUGUGCUAAAUUCGUAUGUUAAAUUGUCAACUACUGUUAUUAAUUAUUAUUAUUAUUAUUAUUAUUA